AUCACCCUCGAAGAGAAUUAUUGAAAGUAGGUAUUCUCAAGGUACUAGACAAACGUCUCUUUGGGCGAUAGAUAUUUGUAGUUGUUGUUGAAUUCAGAAAUCAUUACCAUCUUGGACGCGAGCCAAAGAAGGAAGCGGAAGUAAGCCAACAUAUCAAAGUAUCAUUUAAUUUGUCUUACGAGGUGAUUUGUAUUAAUCGUGACCUUAACCAUUUGCGACGGUAUAGGGGAUUAGCGGUGGUCAUGCACACGCAUGAUGCAGAACCGUAUGACAUCUAGAAUCAAGAGAAUCCAUAUUCACAUAUUUUGACAAAGACGUGAGGUUCUUGUCUUGUCAUAUGAGGAUUUGUUUGGAUUCCACUCCCGUCAAGAGUGUUGUGGCCGAAACAUUCAGGAGAAGUCAGUUUUUAACCAACGAUUAAUCCUAGUGACUUCCAACGUUGGAGAUUAAUCCCUUAAUAUUGGUUGCUCUUGUUAAUCGAGGGAUUGUCUUACCUGUCGAAGUUGAUGACACUAAUCCUUGGAUGUGGUGUACUCUACGAACCUUUGGAAAAAGGAGCGUUGAGGACCUGGGAAGCAAGGAGGAGCAGGACGACACCAGCAGAUUUAUGGAUCAGCCAACAAGCGCUAGUCAUUCAGGCAAUGACUGGUCACCCUCUAGACAUGCAUUUUUAGCAUUUACUUAUUCAUGUGUAAUUUAAUUUUCAUGUGCAUCAUGCAUAUUGAAUGAACAUGGUCAGUCUCAUGGCUUAUUGUGUGAGACAUGCAUUCUAUCAUUUUAAUAAAGAUUACAUUCUUUCCGAAA